rnacentral:antisense_RNA from 1 species
AGGCGCUGUCCUAGGUACUGUGGGGACCAAAACAUUCAGACCUGCUUCCGUGGAAGAGUCAGAAUAACAAAUCAACAUUUGUACUACACCAGACCAGCUCUCUUCUAAGGUUGCUAUGACUUCCCAGCAGGCAUUCUAAUAUACGCAUUCUUCAUGACAACUAUGUGAAACAUAUUAAUAUCCUCAUUGUUAAAGAUGAAGAAACUAAAUCUCAGGAAGAAAAACUAAGUGAAGACAAAAGAAGUAUUUGAACUGAGGUUUGUCAGACUCUCGGGACCAAGCUGUUGAAACCACUAAACCACACUGCCUCUGGGUCACUUGAUAAACAGUGUUCAACCAUUAAGAUAGUCAUUAAUAAAGUUCCUUGUGCUCUCCUUGA